GUUCCUCAGACUGCUGAUACGUUCUUUUAUUGUGUGUGUGUGUGUGCGUCUUAUUGAGAAGAACGGACAGGAAAGGGGCUAAUAAGCGGGUAUGCUACCAUUGACAGCUCAGACAACUAAGGCGCAGGUGUUCUGCCGGAGAAACUAUGUAAACGCGUUUUAUAUGUCGCCUCUAAACAGGCCUGAAACGAGGGUUUAGCAAUUUUCAUGUUGUCCAUGAUUAAUACUACACAUUUCAAAACUUGAAUAAAUAUUGGCCAUGCCCAAUUUCCUCGAAAUAUUAACUUCGUGAGUGGUCUAGCCCUUUUUCUUUUUUUUUUAGAAAACCGCGCUUUCAAUUGUUUUUAGUCGCACUAGCAGCCCCGCUCUAAGUUUAUGCCAUUUUGUUUUGAGUGCAGCUAGGUUGCGUAGACUCGUAGAGAGCAGUGAGGACGAGUGCUUGCGCGCAAACGGGGAUUGAGGUCGCUGGUUCGACUCCAGUGCGCGUUUACGGUUUAACUAGGCUAGACUAGUGAUAGACUGCACGUGGUUCUUUUGCGUUACUCCUUGAGUCAUCGGAGAAAUAUUGUUAUGUUAGGGAGUUGUCACACGCGCAUGCGCUCAAGUGUUAGGGCGUAGGCGACUGCAUGAAGUGCACGGUGUUAUUAUGGCUAAUGGGGGCGCCACCCGAUAGUGGAGUGGACAAGCCUUACUCAAAUGUCCCAUGCAGAAAUGGACGUGCACGUUCAACUUGUGAAACUACUGUUUAAGAAAAGGGUGCGAUCUUCAGUCACCGACUUUCCAUCCCUCAAAUCUGUCUGCAGUGUUGCUGUGAACAUGGUGUUAUUCUUGCUCAUUGCAGGCUGAAACGUUAUGGUUACAGGAUUUAUAGGCGUCCAAAAGAUGUGGCGAGGUACGCCACCCUCGCACACGUGAAAAGCAAGCCGAGCGACGAAAGGAUGGGGCUCCUCAACAACUGGUCAAGCCGCGUCACUUCGGACGGUCUAAACAGCCUCAAGUACAGACGCAUGGACAUGGCCUUUAAGAAGCUCUACACUUGGAUAUUGGUAGACCUCCGAGAGUCUGAACGACCUUCAAGAAGAGCACAUUGAAAGGAACUUUCUAGGGCACACGUUUCCACGGCAGUCCAGCAUGUACAAAUAACGGCACAUGGCAGUUUUCCAUGCCAAAGUCCAAUAUCUCAUAUAGCAAGCGUGAUAGAGAGCUGCAAGAUGAAGUCUGACAGGAAGGAGACAAGUGCGAGUCUUCGUCUUGUCAGUCUUCGUUUUGCUGCGCUGUAUUGCAUUUCUGAAGUAUUGCAGCACCAACUAUCUCAAAGCCGCUCACUGCUGUAUACUUGAUAGACUGUUCCCGCCUAACAUGUUCCACAAUACUAGGGCCCAUUUAGAACAGAGUGUCACUACUCCUAAAUUUACACACUUAUCCUUUUCCUCGGGCGAUAUGUUUUUAUUAAGGACACAUUCGAAGCGACCUCUACAAAGUGAUGUACUCGCAGUGACCGCGACACGAAACCAGGGAGAUGAAUUAUUUUUAAAAAUUCUUUUUUUGUGUGUGUAUGUGUGUGUGUGACCCUUAUCGUAAGCUCUAUCCAGUGUCAUCAACAUGGACGGACGCCUCUGUUUCUGCGAAGAUUUGUAAACUUAUAUUUUUAGUGAGCUCUUCACACUGUGAUAUUGGAUCAUUUUUUUUAUUUGCCUGAGAUAAUAAUGAAAAGCUUGGUGAUAUAUUUUACGUACACGUCCUAGGAAUAAUAAAUUUAAUAAAUAAACAUUUAAAACU